GGAAGUACGCCAAAGUUGGAGGGUUGGGGCAGACUGUAAAUCUGUUGUUUAAGUACGGAGUAGGUUCGAUUCCUACUACUUCCACCA
rnacentral:tRNA from 2 species